rnacentral:rRNA from 1 species
AAUCAACGCUGGCGGCAGGCCUAACACAUGCAAGUCGAGCGGAUGAGUGGAGCUUGCUCCAUGAUUCAGCGGCGGACGGGUGAGUAAUGCCUAGGAAUCUGCCUGGUAGUGGGGGACAACGUUUCGAAAGGAACGCUAAUACCGCAUACGUCCUACGGGAGAAAGUGGGGGAUCUUCGGACCUCACGCUAUCAGAUGAGCCUAGGUCGGAUUAGCUAGUUGGUGAGGUAAAGGCUCACCAAGGCGACGAUCCGUAACUGGUCUGAGAGGAUGAUCAGUCACACUGGAACUGAGACACGGUCCAGACUCCUACGGGAGGCAGCAGUGGGGAAUAUUGGACAAUGGGCGAAAGCCUGAUCCAGCCAUGCCGCGUGUGUGAAGAAGGUCUUCGGAUUGUAAAGCACUUUAAGUUGGGAGGAAGGGCAGUAAGUUAAUACCUUGCUGUUUUGACGUUACCAACAGAAUAAGCACCGGCUAACUUCGUGCCAGCCGCCGCCGUAAUAC